UUCCCCUUCUGGAUAUGCAACUGCAUGGCUCCGCUAAUUAGGUGCCUGAACCAUGGAGAAGAUGCACAUGUAAGGUGAGGUGGUGGCCUUGGGGGGAAUAGGGUGUAGAUGGGAGGAGGCAGUGGGGUGAGAAGAGGGGGUGGGGGGAAUUUGGGAUGUGAAGGGCUGCAACGGC